ACAGAAAGCAGCUCAAGAGACUGGUGCUCUGAAGUCACCAAAAUGUUAGCAGUUACUAUCUGUUGGUGGUGAAAUCUCAGGCCUUCCGCCAGGAAUCAGGUGGCCCUCUCAUCUUCUAGCCCAAGGACGCACCAAAGGAUGUUUUGCAGACAAAGUCUGUGGAGGAUUCUGACGUUGAGCCCUCCUGAGAAGUCUGGCCAGCACUGAGGUCGCCAAGCUCCCACACAAAUGCACACUGGCCGGGUGUGAGGAACGCUAUCCUGAGCAGCUGCGGUUGUAAUUAGCUGCUAGGCUUUGAACUACACACCAGUAUUAAUUUAGCUUCAUGGAUAUUGAUUUAGUUGCCUGUCUGUUAACCCUACAAUGGGUAGUGACCAUAUUUGCAAAAAUAGGGUUUCCAAUAUGUAACUUCCCCCCAGCUAGCAUUGAAGGUAGGCAUUUGAGUUAGUUCAAAUGUGAAUAUUCUAUCCUCUGGCUACCUUGGAGGUAUCCAUUACUCACCACUCCCUCCCCACAUUACUGUACAGAAAGAAACUCAUUAUUGGUGAUGAACUAGAAUUUGUGUUACGUAAAUAACUAGCAGUGCACCACCAAGGUAAGAAUAAUAGAACUAUUGAAUGAUUUUAAGCUUCACAGAGAAUUGUUUUAUAAUGUGGUUAAGCUUAUAUUCCUUAAUAGUAAACAUGUAAUUCAUACAUGCUGCCAACAGCAAGUUGUCUGCAACUUACUUAUUUUCGAAUUCUCUUUCCCUAGAAAAUGGAAGCAGAUCAGUGAACCUUGGGGGAAAUGCAGCUUGGAGAACACAGCCCACUCCCUGGGCUCUUGGGCCACUGAGAUUUCCAGCCCUCCAACAGGACAAACACAACUCCUUCCCUCUUUCCUGAGUCAGCCAUACAUGGAAUAUUCUAGAGAGGCCCCAGGGGAAUGAGCAGGGUGGGAGCUGUGGUUCCUGAGUGAUACCCAGUAGAGGCAGGACUCAUGUGCACUGGGCCCUGGGCAGGAGCACACUGCCCCCAUGUCUGCAUCCAGGUCCUCAGGAGGCAGCAGCACUGAAGUUUUACCAGAAACACCCCGGGCGCUUUCUUGGCAUACUUGUGUGGCUGGGGCUCACCAUGUGCAGUCCACGCCUAGCAAUAGGCUUUGAGUUUUAUGUGUCAAAACAGAUCAUGUGGGCCAGCUCAAAUCUGUUCCCUGCAGCAGUGAGGUUGAGAAGCUGCAUGCCAGAGUGCUGUGAUGUGUAUGUUGUCGCUUGUAUUUAUAAUCCUGGGGUUACAGGGGGAGGAUAUUACUUAGAAUCUUCAUCCAGAGCCAGGAGAAGGCAGGAAAUGGGGGGCAUAUCAGGCUUUCAGAGCUCCCCUUCCCUGAGUCUUGCCUGGGUGGUGCCUUCUGCCUCAGUUGGGAUCUCUGGAUGCGGACAAGGGGCUUGAAUAAGGCCUUAUCCCAGCAGGCUUUGAGUCUGCAUUUCUUUAAUUUUUUUAGCUUUUAAAAUUUUAAUUAAAGCAUAGUUGACAUAAUAUUAUAUUAGUUUCAGGUGUACAACAUAGUGAUUGAACAAUUAUAUACAUUACAAAAUGCUCACUACAAUAAAUAUAGCUACCAUCUGUUAACAUACAAAGAUACUACAAUAUUAUUGACUGUAUGCCCUUUGCUGUACUUGUUUUAUAACUGGAAGUUUGUACCUCUGGAUCCUCUUCACCUAUUUCACCAACCCCACCCAGCCCAAUCCUCCUACCCUCUGGCAGCCACCAGGGUGUUCUCUGUAUUUA